UGUAAUUUGGCUACCGGUUCGGGCCACACCCUUAACGCGGUCUGAAAAAAUAAAAAAAAUAAUAAAUAAAUAAAUAAAUAAAUAAAUAAACUAAAAAUCACGUCAAUUGGUCUCCUCGCGCAGUCGUCACUCCGCAUCGUCCCACCUCCUUCUUGUCUCCUCCGGGCAGCAGACGUAUAUAAACACGGCUGAUCCAUCUUCCUCCAGCUUACCCAGUAACAUCACGAUAACCAUUACGUGGAGCUCAGAUGGGAGGGCUCAGAUUGUGGCUGGUUUCUGUAAGAAAGAGAAGCUCGGAGAGAGAGAGAGAGGGAGAGAGAAAGAGAGAGAGAGGCGCAAACAGUAAAACAGCUCAGGCCUCGGAUGCUCAGAGGUUCGUCGGAAUAAUUGAACGCGCAGACUGAAGCACGAGGAUGAGGACCCAGUCAAGCCUGGGAUGAAGUAUUGGUGAUGCUGAGUGGAAGACUAGUGAUUUUGUUGUGAUGCUCAUCAAAGAACAACAAGUCCCAGUCUACCUCUCAGCACAAGCAAGUGCCCUUCAGUAUGCACCACCUUUGCACCCCUGCACGCACAGUCGGCGCUGACGUUAAUGACAAGAUUUCCAGUUUUUUUUUUUUUUUCCACCAGCAAGCUGCCCUUUAAAAUCCCCCCCCCCCAUCCCCCCCACCCCAAAACGCUCUGAUUUAGUCCCUACGCGAACCAGCAUUCAGUAAUGUUAAUUACCGGCAAAAUUGCAAUCAAAAAGGAUAAUUUAGGCAUGGUACUGAAUCGUGCGGUGAAAGCUGCUCAGGGAAAAACUGUAAUUAUGUCAUAAAGUGCCUUGUAAAAAAAUAAAUAAAAAAAUACAGGGAAGCAGCUUUGUUCUAUUGUAUUCCUCCCAUUUAUUCAAUAACCUUGGAUGAAACGUGUGUUUUCAGUUCGUUAUGAAGUAAAAUAAACCCUUAAAAGUUU